rnacentral:rRNA from 1 species
CCUACGGGAGGCAGCAGUCGAGAAUCAUUCACAAUGGGGGAAACCCUGAUGGUGCGACGCCGCGUGGGGGAAUGAAGGUCUUCGGAUUGUAAACCCCUGUCAUGUGGGAGCAAAUUAAAAAGAUAGUACCACAAGAGGAAGAGACGGCUAACUCUGUGCCAGCAGCCGCGGGAAUACAGAGGUCUCAAGCGUUGUUCGGAAUCAUUGGGCGUAAAGCGUGCGUAGGCGGUUUCGUAAGUCGUGUGUGAAAGGCGCGGGCUCAACCCGCGGACGGCACAUAAUACUGCGAGACUAGAGUAAUGGAGGGGGAACCGGAAUUCUCGGUGUAGCAGUGAAAUGCGUAGAUAUCGAGAGGAACACUCGUGGCGAAGGCGGGUUCCUGGACAUUAACUGACGCUGAGGCACGAAGGCCAGGGGAGCGAAAGGGAUUAGAUACCCUUGUAGUC